rnacentral:rRNA from 2 species
CAGCAGAAAGACCCGCGAAC